rnacentral:Y_RNA from 1 species
CAAAGGUCCAAAGGUAGCGAGUCAUCUCAAUUGAUUGUUCACAGUCAGUUACAGAUUGAACUCCUUGUUCUACUCUUUCCCUCUUCUCACUACUGCACUUGACUAGUCAA